rnacentral:rRNA from 1 species
UGGGGAAUUUUGGACAAUGGGCGAAAGCCUGAUCCAGCAAUGCCGCGUGUGUGAAGAAGGCCUUCGGGUUGUAAAGCACUUUUGUCCGGAAAGAAAUCCUUGGCUCUAAUACAGUCGGGGGAUGACGGUACCGGAAGAAUAAGCACCGGCUAACUACGUGCCAGCAGCCGCGGUAAUACGUAGGGUGCAAGCGUUAAUCGGAAUUACUGGGCGUAAAGCGUGCGCAGGCGGUUUGCUAAGACCGAUGUGAAAUCCCCGGGCUCAACCUGGGAACUGCAUUGGUGACUGGCAGGCUAGAGUAUGGCAGAGGGGGGUAGAAUUCCACGUGUAGCAGUGAAAUGCGUAGAGAUGUGGAGGAAUACCGAUGGCGAAGGCAGCCCCCUGGGCCAAUACUGACGCUCAUGCACGAAAGCGUGGGGAGCAAACAGGAUUAGAUACCCUGGUAGUCCACGCCCUAAACGAUGUCAACUAGUUGUUAGGGAUUCAUUUCCUUAGUAACGUAGCUAACGCGUGAAGUUGACCGCCUGGGGAGUACGGUCGCAAGAUUAAAACUCAAAUGAAUUGACGGGGUCAUAGCUGUUUCCU